ensembl:lncRNA
ACAACAGUGUUUCUUCUGCGUAGUUUGCUUUUUGUAUAGACCGACAAGAAAUAAGGAAGCAAAUGGACUGUCUGUAUUUUUGUCCCCGAAGUACCAAAGGCCGCUCUUUUCCUUUAAGAAGAGCUUGGCCCUUGGGCUUGCUAUUCUAGCUAACUUCCAGUAAUUUAUUCUGGACUUGGCUCUGCACUGGACUGCACACUGUAAUUUCUACUUGGCAAUUUGCUUCCUUGCUCACACGAAGAUCAGUAAGUUUGUGGAAACAAAUCCACCAUCCCUUAUAGGAUUUUCAAUAUUGGAGCUUUAACAAUAGCAUCAUCAGAUAAUUUCUUGUUAUUCGUGUCUGUUGGAGAGCCAGGAGUUAUCAGAGAGCUCCAUCAGUGUGCAAAGGGGUGUGGUGGCUCCGUUAGUUUCUUUCCGAACAAUGGAUUUCCUGUGAAGGUAAACUUACACUCCAGAACAGCCUGAUCUAUUUUAUAACCUGAAACAGAAAGGUGGAACACUUUAUCUGUGGCUUACAAGCAAAAUGCUAUCACCUACUCAAAUAAUGACCCCAGCUGUCCUCCCUCCCAGCACUGCCUUUGCAAAUGGUUUAUGCACACACUCGCAAAGGAGGAGCAGCUGAUGCAAGACCUGCCACAGAAAGACGGUCCAAAGGACUGACCCAGCAGCUCGUGUGAAACUCUGCGGAGUUCUGGACAUAAAUACAUCUGUGAACCAAAACCAGUCAGGACAAACACUCUUAAUUGAAUUAAACUUUCAUUAAGCUUGAUUAUUUUAUUUUGCUUUUGACAAAGGCCUUUGCAUUUAUUAUUACAUCUGUGGCUAAAACUGAAAUAGUUUCUAAAUUUCCCAUGGGUAGCUCAUUGUUGUUUCACCCACCAGUGCCUGGCACAAGGGGGAAAACGGUGAGAAAAGCAAGCCAAAUCAAUUUAUCAGUAGCGCUAACUUAUCAGCCCUUUCUCAAAUCACAUGCCCCACAGUGUAACUCGAAUGACCAGUUUUUCCUUCCAUUAGCAAGUACAUUAAGGGAAAGUGAUCUCCCUGCCAGCAAGUGUCAGAUGCACCAGAUACUGUAUCCUAUCUGGACAUUAAAGUUAUAUGCAGGGCCUCCGGCUGGAUUUCGGUUUGGUUUCUAGCAACAUCAGCACAAAGGAACGACCGUGGCUAACAAACAAGUAUAAAGUACAACUUUUUAUCUCCUGAAGUAAAACAAUCUUCCCACAACCAUAAAUUAUCUACCAGUAAAGAAAUUCAGCCUUGACUCCUAGCAGCAGAAAGUAGAAGAGGCCCUUCUCCUGCAGCCGGCCUCCUCUGCUGCAGCCCUGGUCAUGGACAGCACCAGCUCUGUCCUCCCCACAUCCUGCUGGAAAGGGGCAUUCCCAGCACCAACAGAAUUCCAGGUAACUGAGCCAAAACAUCCACUUGCAGCUCUGGGAAUGGGUCUUGCUGCAGCGACAGAUGCAUCCAGGACCUUGCUCUUAGUUAAUAAAUUCCAUUAUCACUGGAAAAAAAUCCAGCUGGUUCAAAGCACACUAAGGUCUAUGCAGAGAAGGAAGGACAGUUGUGAGUGCGCUACUCUGUCAUCUGCAGUGGCUCUAAGCCAGAUGUCAAGGCUGUUCAAAGCUGUAUUUAUAACCUGCAGCAUCCCACUUGUAUAAGCUCCAGUCGUGUCCCACUGCAACCACGGAACUACAAACAACAUUCGCUAGCAAUGGAGACCUAGGGAAAAGCAGUUGACUGAUGUGUGAGAUGAGCCACAACAGCACGUAGUUCGUGGUAGAUAGACCAAAGAGAGCAACAGAUACAAUCUGUCUAGUCUUACAUUGGCAAACACGAACAAAAAUUUAUUACCAAACUCCACCUAACUGAAUUUACCUUUUUACAGUGUGGCCACAGAACAGCUGCUGCGCCUAUUUCAAAAUGCCAGCUCACAGGAACACAACAGCUGAAGGAUCACUGCUGGGUACUGAAGAGAAACUGUUAUGCUAUUUUGUUACUCAAAACUUAAGUCUCCUUCCUACUAAAUAAAUAAAUAAAUAAAUAAAAAUACAUGAAGUGGCUUUUGCUGUCUUUGUGGAAUAGUGAAACACUGUCUUUUGGCAGGACCAGCUGCCCCACUCAGCAGGUGAGCCUGUUGGUCCCCCCUGCUCUGUAGAGCUGUUCAGGACUUCCUCUCCUGACACUUUUUUUCCUGUUCACUCUUCUCCUUCUUAUUAUGUCCAGAGUUUUCAUUACUUUUUUU